rnacentral:piRNA from 2 species
UGCCACCUUGAUCAUCGACAUUCUCAG